AUUGAACGCUGGCGGCAGGCCUAACACAUGCAAGUCGAGCGGAUGAGGAAAGCUUGCUUUUCGAUUCAGCGGCGGACGGGUGAGUAACACGUGGGUAACCUACCCGGAGGUGGGGGAUAACCCUUCGAAAGGAGGGCUAAUACCGCAUGACAUCGCGAGGACCUCGGUUCUUGCGAUCAAAGCUGGCCUCUGUUUACAAGCUAGCGCCACUGGACGGGACCGCGCCCCAUUAGCUAGUUGGUGAGGUAACGGCUCACCAAGGCAACGAUGGGUAGCCGGCCUGAGAGGGCGACCGGCCACACUGGAACUGCGACACGGUCCAGACUCCUACGGGAGGCAGCAGUGAGGAAUCUUGCGCAAUGGGCGAAAGCCUGACGCAGCGACGCCGCGUGGAGGAUGAAGGUCUUCGGAUUGUAAACUCCUGUCGAGUGGGACGAAUGCCAUGAGGGUGAACAAUCCUCGUGGUUGACGGUACCGCUGGAGGAAGCCCCGGCUAACUCCGUGCCAGCAGCCGCCGUAAUAC
rnacentral:rRNA from 1 species